AAGGACAGAAAGCCGCGUGCUGUGAACAGAGCUUAGAGAACGCUUUACUGUACCAGUAAUCAGCUGAUUUUACGACAGAAUAAUGGCACUGGCAGCAGAAAAUAGACACGAGGCCCCACAGGAGUGUCCUGUGUGCUUCGAAAAUGUUUUGCUUGCAAAACGCACUCUGAGCUGCAGGCACGUCUUUUGCCAGGACUGCCUGAGUAAAAUAAUGGUAGUCGCCCGGAGUCGAGGAUCCAUCAUUUGUCCACUCUGCCGUCAAGCCACUUAUCUUAACAAAGAGAGCCAAGCUGGAGAGACCCUGGCUGCAGAUGUGGACACCACACAGGAGGUGGCUCUUCCUCUCUCGAUGGGGUAUCUUGUGAUGGCGUCGAGGGCCUCCAUAGUCGGUUUGUUGCAUGGAGGAAAUUGGAUGAUGCAUCAUUUGAGGAGACUUUCUCGCCGAAGCAGCGAGCAAACGGUCACCUACAGGAAUGGGUCUCAGGUUUUUAUAAUUAGCGACCAAGUGAGACCAACGACAUGCAGCGAUACUGCUGUCGGUAUUCCUGAGGCUGAACCUCCGGAGUGUACGGAGUGUCGGGUCACCAAAUCCGACUGUAUUUGCCUGGUAGUGGUGAUUUGUUUGACCGCACUGGUGUCGCUUCUGGUGAGGCACCUAUGAGGAUGUGCAGACUCCAACAUCCAUUCUCAGGACUGACACGUUGCCUCACUUUGUGAUAACGAUGCAUCAAUCCAGUCUCCUUUCAGAGGACCUGUGAAUGGGAAGCCCCACAACGAGCUGCUAUCAGGAAAACCGACGAUUAUUUAUUAUGUGUAUAUUAUGUUUUAUGUUAUAGUUUGACUUUUUCCAGUAAUGACUGGAAAAAGGAGGAAAAAUGUUUAGAAUGUUUCUUUUCAUUGUUUUAUGAAUCACUGUGGCCAACAACGUAAUUUUGAAAACUACAGAGUCACUUUAUAAAUAAGCAUUGCUGCACUUUGUAUUUUAUAUAUUGCUUGUUUAUAGUUUAUACUUUUCUACAGUUGGUCAAGACUAAAGAUUUUAGAACUCCUGUUUUGUGUGUUUAUACGAUGUUAUAAAUACAAACAAUAAUAAUUUGCAUAAAUGGCUUAUGCAAAGAAGAAAUUAUACACACACACACACACACACACUUUAAUCAAAGCUGUCUGUGUGUCUAUACACAAUACACACACCUGUAGUCAAUCAUUUUCAGUUUGGUACCCUGCACUCCAAAUCUGAUUAGUUGGAUUAACCAUUGUAGUGUCUAAUGAAUAAUCACAGAUUUUAAUA